UACAGAGGUCCCAAGCGUUGUUCGGAAUUAUUGGGCGUAAAGGGUGCGUAGGCGGUAGGAUAAGUUAGAUGUGAAAUGUCGGUGCUUAACAUCGAACCUGCAUUUAAGACUGUCCUGCUUGAGCGCUAGAGAGGAGUCUGGAAUUUACGGUGUAGCAGUGAAAUGCGUAGAUAUCGUAAGGAAGGCCAGUGGCGAAAGCGAGACUCUGGCUAGAUGCUGACGCUGAGGCACGAAAGCUGGGGGAGCAAACGGG
rnacentral:rRNA from 1 species